AGCCAAGCCAAGCUGCGGUUCCCCUCGAGCCAACGCCACAGCAACACCACACAUCUUUCCAUACAUCGGCAGAGGCACGGUGAAGACCACCGAUCUGCUGCUCCAUAGGUCGCCUUGGUGACCCAACUGGUUCGACAACCUGUGGUCUGCAAACCGGAGACACCAUGUGUAUUUCACCUGAGCGCUUUUGGGGCUGUAUGAACUACUUCACCUCAGCUCUUCCCUUCCUGUCUGCUGCACAACAGGGCUUCCUGGGAGAAAACAUCCAGGUCCAGUUGCAGGUUCCUGUAGGUGUAGAGGGCUUCUGUACUACCUUUGCUGAAUGUUCAACCAGCCACCCUGAUGCAAAUGUCCAAGUGGGAUGCUUUUUAC